rnacentral:rRNA from 1 species
UACGUAGGGUGCAAGCGUUGUCCGGAAUUAUUGGGCGUAAAGAGCUCGUAGGCGGUCUGUCGCGUCGGCUGUGAGAACCCGGAGCUCAACUCCGGGCCUGCAGUCGAUACGGGCAGACUGGAGUUCGGCAGGGGAGACUGGAAUUCCUGGUGUAGCGGUGAAAUGCGCAGAUAUCAGGAGGAACACCGGUGGCGAAGGCGGGUCUCUGGGCCGAUACUGACGCUGAGGAGCGAAAGCGUGGGUAGCAAACAGG